rnacentral:rRNA from 1 species
AUUGAACGCUGGCGGCAGGCUUAACACAUGCAAGUCGAGCGGGGGAAGGUAGCUUGCUACUGGACCUAGCGGCGGACGGGUGAGUAAUGCUUAGGAAUCUGCCUAUUAGUGGGGGACAACAUCUCGAAAGGGAUGCUAAUACCGCAUACGUCCUACGGGAGAAAGCAGGGGAUCUUCGGACCUUGCGCUAAUAGAUGAGCCUAGGUCGGAUUAGGUAGUUGGUGGGGUAAAGGCCUACCAAGGCGACGAUCUGGAGCGGGUCUGAGAGGAUGAUCCGACACACUGGGACUGAGACACGGCCCAGACUCCUACGGGAGGCAGCAGUGGGGAAUAUUGGACAAUGGGGGGAACCCUGAUCCAGCCAUGCCGCGUGUGUGAAGAAGGCCUUAUGGUUGUAAAGCACUUUAAGCGAGGAGGAGGCUACUCUAGUUAAUACCUAGGGAUAGUGGACGUUACUCGCAGAAUAAGCACCGGCUAACUCUGUGCCAGCCGCCGCCGUAA